AUUGAACGCUGGCGGCAGGCCUAACACAUGCAAGUCGAGCGAGCGGCGGACGGGUGAGUAAUGUAUGGGGACUGCCCGAUAGAGGGGGAUAACUACUGGAAACGGUAGCUAAUACCGCAUACUAUCGGAUAACCCAUAUGGGAUUAGCUAGUAGGUGAGGGAAUGGCUCACCUAGGCGACGAUCCCUAGCUGGUAUGAGAGGAUGAUCAGGCACACUGGGACUGAGACACGGACCGGACUCCAACGGAGGCAGCAGUGGGGAAUAUUGAACAAUGGGCGCAAGCCUGAUGCAGCCAUGCCGCGUGUAUGAAGAAGGCCCUAGGGUUGUAAAGUACUUUCAGUCUGUAGGCGUUACCGACAGAAGAAGCACCGGCUAACUCCGUGCCAGCAGCCGCGGUAAUAC
rnacentral:rRNA from 1 species